GGAAGCCUGACGGAGCGAUGCCGCGUGAGUGAAGAAGGUCUUCGGAUCGUAAAGCUCUGUUCUUGAGGACGAAUACUACUGGGAGGGAAAGCCCCUGGUGAGACCUGUCCUCAUUGAAAAGCCUCCGGUAAAUUCCUGGCCACCGCCCCGGUAAUUA
rnacentral:rRNA from 1 species